ACAGAGAUUCUACUGAGAACAAAAAGACUGCUGGUCACAUUCUACUACAAUGCAGGCAAUCUCCUGGACCAGGAAGGCACCUGAUAAGCAAGGAACAGUGAGAUCUUCUUAUUUCUUAUGCACAUGUGUGAGGGGGGGGUGAGCGGGUUGUGGACUAUGUAGGAUGACAUCAUAUAGGAAAGAGCCAUAGCUGAAUGACAGCACUACACAAACUAAACAAAAGCUCUGACUCAUUACAAGGCCACGUUUCAUUGUCGUGAUCACCACAUAUGGAUUGGUGCUUUCUAUACAUGGCUAAUGGGAGGGGCAUUAUUAGUGUGAAACCACGGAAUCGUAGGACUGUAGGGUUGGAAGUUGACCCCCCCAAGGGGUCAUCUAGCCGAACCCCCUGAACACAGGAAUCACAGCUGAAGAAUCCCUGGGAGAUGGCUAUCCAACCUCUAUUUAAAAACCUCCAGGGACAGAGAGUCCACCACCCUUCAGGGUGGUCCAUUCCACUGUUGAACAGAGCUCUUACCGUCAGAAAGUUCUUCCUAACAUAUAGUCAGGAUCUCUUUUCUUGUAAUGUGAGUCCAUUGGUUCGGAUCCUACCCUCUGGAGUAGCAGAAAACAAACUACCAUGUGGCACUCCUUUAGAUACCUGAAGAUGGCUAUGUCAGUGGUCUACUAAACCCCCCUAGAUCAUUUUCACAUUCACUGCUGUCAAGCCACCCUACAUUUGUGCAUCUGGUUAUUCCUGCCUAAGUGUAGAAGGAGGAGUUAGCAGAUGAUGAUGAUGAUGAUGAUGAUGAUGAUUACCCUAGCCACUCUGGGCAGCUUCCAACAUAUAUAAAAACAUUAUAAAACAUUACACGUUAAAAAGCUUCCCUAUACAAGGCUGCCUUCAGAUGUCUUCUAAAGGUUGUAUUAUCUCUUUGACAUCUGAUACCAGGGUGGGUGCCACUACUGAGAAGGCCUGGUUCCCUGUAACUUCACUUCUCACCAUGAGGGAACCACCAGAACGCCCUCAGUGCUGGAUCUGUGUCCCGGCUGAACAAUGGGGAUGGAGAUACUCCUUCAGCUAUCUUGUCUCUUGUUCCCAUAACUGUUCUUGUGCUUUUUUUUCUUUGCUGCCAGAAGUACCGAAGAUCACGACUAAGCUAUGCUAGUUUGAGACCAACCUAACAGCAGCUGGCACAGAGGAACUGUAGGCUUGGCCUGCCUGUUUAUCCUGAUGUAAACUCAGACGACAUCAAUAAGAGACCCACAGACAAAGGCAACAGGUGAACAAUAUAUGAAACACCUCAGUGGGAAAUCUGAAUGAGGGCCUUAUCUAAUUAAAGAGGGC